rnacentral:rRNA from 1 species
CUGGCGGCGUGCCUAACACAUGCAAGUCGAACGAGAAAGGGGAGCAAUCCCUGAGUACAGUGGCGACCGGGUGAGUAACACGUGACUAACCUACCUUCUUGUGGGGGAUAACCUCGGGAAACCGGAGCUAAUACCGCAUAACAUCUCUGGGAUGAAAAGCCGGAGAUCAAAGGAGCAAUUCGCAGGAAGAGGGGGUCGCGGCUGAUUAGCUAGUUGGUGAGGUAACGGCUCACCAAGGCGAUGAUCGGUAGCCGGCCUGAGAGGGCGCACGGCCACACUGGAACUGAAACACGGUCCAGACUCCUACGGGAGGCAGCAGUGGGGAAUUUUGCGCAAUGGGGGAAACCCUGACGCAGCAACGCCGCGUGGAGGAUGAAGUCCCUUGGGACGUAAACUCCUUUCGACCCGGACGAUAGUGACGGUACGGGUGGAAGAAGCCCCGGCUAACUUCGUGCCAGCAGCCGCGGUAAUACGAGGGGGGCGAGCGUUGUUCGGAAUUAUUGGGCGUAAAGGGCGCGUANGCGGUGCGGUAAGUCACCUGUGAAACCUCUGGGCUUAACUCA